AGGGCUGCUGUGAUUAUAAAUAAAAAGAUUUAAUAUCUGAACGCUAUUUCGAUGGCAUGAUAGACUCUUUUACACCCAUAGAAUAUGAGCACC